AACACAUGCAAGUCGAACGAGUAAGAGCCAAGCUUGCUGGGAAUUCUGCUAGUGGCGCACGGGUGAGUAACGCGUGGGAACGUGCCCUUGGGUACGGAAUAACGUCUGGAAACGGACGCUAAUACCGUAUGAUGUCUGCGGACCAAAGAUUUAUCGCCCAGGGAUCGGCCCGCGGGAGAUUAGCUAGUUGGUCAGGUAAUGGCUCACCAAGGCCACGAUCGCUAGCUGGUCUGAGGAGAUGAUCAACCACACUGGAACUGAGACACGGACCAGACUCCUACGGGAGGCAGCAGUGGGGAAUAUUGGACAAUGGGCGAAAGCCUGAUCCAGCCAUGCCGCGUGAGUGAUGAAGGCCUUCGGGUUGUAAAACUCUUUAGCCAGGGAAGAUGAUGACGGUACCUGGAAAAUAAGCACCGGCUAACUUCGUGCCAGCCGCCGCGGUAA
rnacentral:rRNA from 1 species